AAAUGGCCUGAGGUAGGCUGAUAGCCUCUGGAAACGGAGAGUAAUACCGUAUGUGCCCUUCGGGGGAAAGAUUUAUCGCCUUUGGAUUAGCCCGCGUUAGAUUAGGUAGUUGGUGGGGUAAUGGCCUACCAAGCCUACGAUCUAUAGCUGGUUUUAGAGGAUGAUCAGCAACACUGGGACUGAGACACGGCCCAGACUCCUACGGGAGGCAGCAGUGGGGAAUCUUGGACAAUGGGGGCAACCCUGAUCCAGCCAUGCCGCGUGAGUGAUGAAGGCCUUAGGGUCGUAAAGCUCUUUCGCCUGUGAAGAUAAUGACGGUAGCAGGUAAAGAAACCCCGGCUAACUCCGUGCCAGCAGCCGCGGUAAUACGGAGGGGGUUAGCGUUGUUCGGAAUUACUGGGCGUAAAGCGCACGUAGGCGGAUCGGAAAGUUGGGGGUGAAAUCCCGGGGCUCAACCCCGGAACUGCCUCCAAAACUAUCGGUCUAGAGUUCGAGAGAGGUGAGUGGAAUUCCGAGUGUAGAGGUGAAAUUCGUAGAUAUUCGGAGGAACACCAGUGGCGAAGGCGGCUCACUGGCUCGAUACUGACGCUGAGGUGCGAAAGUGUGGGGAGCAAACAGGAUUAGAUACCCUGGUAGUCCACACCGUAAACGAUGAAUGCCAGUCGUCGGGUAGCAUGCUAUUCGGUGACACACCUAACGGAUUAAGCAUUCCGCCUGGGGAGUACGGUCGCAAGAUUAAAGACUCAGAGGAAUUUGACNGGGGGCCCCCACAAGCGGUGGAGCAUGUGGUUUAAUUCGAAGC
rnacentral:rRNA from 1 species